AUGACUCAAAAAGGCUUUUCGGGUUUGAAAAAUCUUUUUUUGGAAGAUAAUCGUUAGGCAGGGGGAACCGUUGUUUUUUCGUAGUGGUUUACAUCCCAAAAAGGCCACAGUCUAAUUACGGGGCCGACAAGCCAGAGGUAAUAAACGAAAGAGGACAAAGGAAUUAUCCUGAAUUUAAUUGGGAUAAAAAACGGGGCGCGGGAGGUUUUUUUUAAUUCUAAACGUGAAAACCCCUCGGACUUAAACCGAGUGAAGUGCAUCGGAAACUGGGAGAACUGGAGUGCAAAAGAGGACAGUGGAGACUGCCAUGUGUAGCGGUGAACUGUGUAGAUAUAUGGAAGAACACCAGUGGCGAAGGCGGCUGUCUGGUCUGUAACUUAACGCUGAGGCUCGAAAAGCAUGGGUAACGAAACAGGAUUAGAUACCCUGGUAGUCCAUGCCGUAAACGAUGAAUGCUAGGUGUUGGAGGGUUUCCGCCCUUCAGUGCCGCAGCUAACGCAUUAAGCAUUCCGCCUGGGGAGUACGACCGCAAGGUUGAAACUCAAAGGAAUUGACGGGGGCCCGCACAAGCGGUGGAGCAUGUGGUUUAAUUCGAAGCAACGCGAAGAACCUUACCAGGUCUUGACAUCUUUUGAUCACCUGAGAGAUCAGGUUUCCCCUUCGGGGGCAAAAUGACAGGUGGUGCAUGGUUGUCGUCAGCUCGUGUCGUGAGAUGUUGGGUUAAGUCCCGCAACGAGCGCAACCCUUAUGACUAGUUGCCAGCAUUUAGUUGGGCACUCUAGUAAGACUGCCGGUGACAAACCGGAGGAAGGUGGGGAUGACGUCAAAUCAUCAUGCCCCUUAUGACCUGGGCUACACACGUGCUACAAUGGAUGGUACAACGAGUUGCGAGACCGCGAGGUCAAGCUAAUCUCUUAAAGCCAUUCUCAGUUCGGACUGUAGGCUGCAACUCGCCUACACGAAGUCGGAAUCGCUAGUAAUCGCGGAUCAGCACGCCGCGGUGAAUACGUUCCCGGGCCUUGUACACACCGCCCGUCACACCAUGAGAGUUUGUAACACCCGAAGCCGGUGGCGUAACCCUUUUAGGGAGCGAGCCGUCUAAGGUGGACAAAAGAUUUUUCAA
rnacentral:rRNA from 1 species